rnacentral:piRNA from 1 species
UGGAAUGCUCAACUCCCAUAGUGGAAGGACU